ACAGCCAUAUCACAUGGAAACACCGGUUCCCGCAUGAUCACUGAAGUUAAGCAAUGUCAAGUCUGGUUAGUACCUAGAUGGGUGACCACUUGGGAAUACCAGGCACUGUAAG